UACGUAGGUGGCAAGCGUUGUUCGGAAUUAUUGGGCGUAAAGGGCGCGUAGGCGGUCUGUCGCGUCUGCUGUGAAAUCCCGAGGCUCAACCUCGGGCCUGCAGUGGGUACGGGCAGACUAGAGUGAUGUAGGGGAGACUGGAAUUCCUGGUGUAGCGGUGAAAUGCGCAGAUAUCAGGAGGAACACCGAUGGCGAAGGCAGGUCACUGGGCCGCAACUGACGCUGAGGAGCGAAAGCAUGGGGAGCGAACAGG
rnacentral:rRNA from 1 species